rnacentral:rRNA from 1 species
UUCAAGAUAUUUCUUAUGAAUGUGGCUCUAUAAUAUUUGUAGUGGGUAAAUCCCUUAUAGAUAUUAUGGAGCCUAUUUUUGUGUAGAAAAAAAGUCCCAUAUGACCUAUAAUGAAAAGCGACAAAACAACUCAUUAGAAAGAAUCAUAUGGAACAAUUACAUUUUAUCACAAAAUUACUAGACAUUAAAGACCCUAAUAU